ACGUGGUCAAGGUCACAAAGCUACUUUCUCAUCUAGUAACUGGCAAUAGCUAAGCGGCUCCCAAGAUUGCUGUGAAGAUGAAGUAAGUAUCUAGCAGAAUACCUGAAAACAGUGAGGGCCCAAUUAAAUGUGAGUCAUCACACUGUCUUCACCAGAGAGAACUUCACCAAUCUGAAUUUUUAUCUGACUUCUAUAUAAUUAGAAGGGCUUGAAGAUUAGAUACUAAAAAGCAAAAAUAAAAACCAAAAAGACAAAACAAAAACCUAAGAUAUCACACAAUGACAUCAGAAACACUGAUUUGACCCACGUAUAUUUUAUGCCAGAAUUAUAAUAGACAUACUAUAGCCAGGCAAAACUUGGUUAUAACGUCAAAGCAAUAUUCUGUUUUUUGUUUGCAAGUUUCUUUGGUGUCUUACUUUGACAUUUUCUUUUGAGAUGUUAGUGACAGCACUUUGUAAUUCCUACAGCAUAUGAUUUACACACCUAUAACCUUUCUCUGCCUAAAAAAACUCCUAGAACACAUGUGCAUGUAUGUUUCUUGUAGCACUAUUUACAAUAGCAAAGACUUGGAACCAACCCAAAUGCCUGUCAAUGAUAGACUGGAUACAGCAAACGUGGCACAUAUACACAAUGGAAUACUACGCAGACAUAAAAAAAGAAUGAGUUCAUGUCCUUUGCAGGGACAUGGAUGAAGCUGGAAACCAUCAUCCUCAGCAAACUAAAGGAAUAGAAAACCAAACACCACAUGUUCUCACUCAUAAGUGGGAGUUGAACAAUGAGAAUACAUGGA
rnacentral:lncRNA from 10 species